rnacentral:tRNA from 2 species
GCUCCCGUAGUUCAAUGGAUAGAACAUUGGUCUCCGAAGCCGAAGAUGUGGGUUCGAUUCCCGCCGGGAGUACCA